rnacentral:rRNA from 1 species
GUAGGUUUGACUCCGUGGCUCGAGGAUGAACGCUAGCGGCAGGCCUAAUACAUGCAAGUCGGACGGGAUCCGGGGGUAGCUUGCUACCUUCGGUGAGAGUGGCGCACGGGUGCGUAACGCGUGAGCAACCUGCCCAUUCCAGGGGGAUAGCCCGGAGAAAUCCGGAUUAACACCGCAUACGACCGUUUCACCGCAUGGUGCUACGGUGAAAUAUUGAUAGGGAAUGGAUGGGCUCGCGUGACAUUAGCUUGUUGGCGGGGUAACGGCCCACCAAGGCGACGAUGUCUAGGGGCUCUGAGAGGAGAAUCCCCCACACUGGUACUGAGACACGGACCAGACUCCUACGGGAGGCAGCAGUAAGGAAUAUUGGUCAAUGGAGGCAACUCUGAACCAGCCAUGCCGCGUGCAGGAAGACGGCCCUACGGGUUGUAAACUGCUUUUGUACGGGAAUAACCCCCUUUACGUGUAAAGGGCUGAAUGUACCGUAAGAAUAAGGAUCGGCUAACUCCGUG